rnacentral:rRNA from 1 species
GACGAACGCUGGCGGCGUGCUUAACACAUGCAAGUCGAACGGAAAGGCCCUGCUUUUGUGGGGUGCUCGAGUGGCGAACGGGUGAGUAACACGUGAGUAACCUGCCCUUGACUUUGGGAUAACUUCAGGAAACUGGGGCUAAUACCGGAUAGGAGCUCCUGCUGCAUGGUGGGGGUUGGAAAGUUUCGGCGGUUGGGGAUGGACUCGCGGCUUAUCAGCUUGUUGGUGGGGUAGUGGCUUACCAAGGCUUUGACGGGUAGCCGGCCUGAGAGGGUGACCGGCCACAUUGGGACUGAGAUACGGCCCAGACUGCUACGGGAGGCAGCAGGGGGGAAUAUUGCACAAUGGGCGGAAGCCUGAUGCAGCAACGCCGCGUGCGGGAUGACGGCCUUCGGGUUGUAAACCGCUUUCGCCUGUGACGAAGCGUGAGUGACGGUAAUGGGUAAAGAAGCACCGGCUAACUACGUG